CUGACAUGUUAAAGCUGGAAAGCAUUUUAAACUCAGUUUCAGAAGUUCAGUUCCUGAAUGAUCUCUGAUGUUCUUAGAAAAGUAAACAUGGACUAUGAAACACUCAAAUGACUCCUUGAAGGAUACAGUUCUUGACAGAGCUUAGUGCAGACUCUAGCCCAUUUCUGUCCUUUACCCACCAUUCUGUUGGGCCCACUACUACUCUGUAUCUACCGUGUUCCAAGGACUGUUAUGGAAACUGGUGACAAAGUGAGUAACAGAAGUCCAUAGAACUUUUAGUUAUAAAAGGAAUACACAAAUGCUUACAAGUUAGGGGGUAAUUUCAUUGUAUCAAUUAAUUGGAUGUAUGUAUAUAUGAAGUUACUAAUUGUAUAUAUUUAUAUUUCAAAUGUAGUCAUUUGAAUUUUUAUCAUUUAUAGUUUUUGUUUUUCUAAGUUUGGCAAUUUUGUUUACCUGGAAG
rnacentral:lncRNA from 1 species